rnacentral:rRNA from 1 species
UGCCAGCCGCCGCGGUAAUAUGGAGGGUGCAAGCGUUGUUCGGAAUUAUAGGGCGUAAAGCGCGUGUAGGCGGUUCGUUAAGUCUGAUGUGAAAGCCCGGGGCUCAACCCCGGAAGUGCAUUGGAAACUGGCGAACUUGAGUACGAGAGAGGUGAGUGGAAUUCCGAGUGUAGAGGUGAAAUUCGUAGAUAUUCGGAGGAACACCAGUGGCGAAGGCGGCUCACUGGCUCGAUACUGACGCUGAGGUGCGAAAGCGUGGGGAGCAAACAGGAUUAGAUA